rnacentral:rRNA from 1 species
CCUACGGGUGGCUGCAGUGGGGGAUAUUGGACAAUGGGGGGAACCCUGAUCCAGCGACGCCGCGUGAGUGAAGAAGUAUUUCGGUAUGUAAAGCUCUGUCAGCAGGGAAGAAAGAAAUGACGGUACCUGACCAAGAAGCCCCGGCUAACUACGUGCCAGCAGCCGCGGUAAUACGGAGGGGGCAAGCGUUAUCCGGAAUUACUGGGUGUAAAGGGAGCGUAGACGGUUAAGUAAGUCUGGAGUGAAAGGCCGGGGCUCAACCCCGGGACUGCUCUGGAAACUAUUUAACUUGAGUGCAGGAGAGGUAAGCGGAAUUCCUAGUGUAGCGGUGAAAUGCGUAGAUAUUAGGAGGAACACCAGUGGCGAAGGCGGCUUACUGGACUGUAACUGACGUUGAGGCUCGAAAGCGUGGGGAGCAAACAGGAUUAGAUACCCUAGUAGUC